GGUAGGACGCGUUGCCGGAGCUCUGGACGGGGAGACAGACAGACAGGGUGCGUGGGGAGCGGCUCGGGACCGGGGCCUCAGGUGGCGAACACCCGCCCCGCGUGGCGUGGAAAAGCAUCUCAUGGGAAAAGGAGGAUAGGGGAGAGAAGUUUCCUGCUCACUUAGAUGGUGAGCUUCCACUAUAGGCUGUGUUUCCUCAAGGCGAGGUGCUGCACGUCUUCGAGCAUGACGAGGACUUGAUCUAAAGCCCUGUGACAGAAAAAGGCAUCAUCGUGUUUGGCAUCUCCCCGAAUGGAGCCAUGUAACAUCAGCAAAAUCACACAGGAUCUUAACAACGACUUGAGGUUAAUUCUUGGCCUCACGAGAAAUUGUUUUAGGGAGUGUGGGCUGCAAAGGUAAAUAUCUCUGCUGAAGUCCUUAUAUAACAAAGCCAGCAUUCAGAAAUGGCUGGUCCAUAGAAAGAUUCAAACUUCUCCAAGGUUAGAUUUUAGAUAAAACUAAAUAAAUUUAUUCUGUGACUCCAAAUAUCCUGAAUUCCUGCCAGCAGAAAACUAGUGGGAACAAUAAAUUUCCAUAUAAACCUGCUGGGAUUUUUUCCUCAUUCCCUUAGCUUUUGGGUUUUGUGUUUUGUUUUGCCUUUUUUGUUGUUGUUUUAAUUAAAAGGUCAGCAUAGCAAAGUUAUGUUAAAAUGCUGUUAUGAAGCAAUCAAAAGUAGAUGUAUGGCUCUGUGAAAAUAGGAUUUACUCCUCUAAUGUUCACAUGACUGCAAGGGAGGACAGCAACAGUCUGUUCUGGACACUCAGACAGACAGACAGGUAUCUUCAUUGUUCUCCAUUAAGUAAAUAUAUUUUAAAUGGCCAAAACACACAAACACAUAUUUACAUACACAUGUUAGUGAUUGCUACAGAUACACAUGGCAUGCAACAGAUGAUGUGAAAAGGUUGAAGUGACAUGGUGAAGUAAAUUCCAGGUAAUAACAUUCUACUCCUGAACACUGGAGAAGAGGGACAGGAAUAGAGCCCAGCUCUACUUAGUCAGUCUGAUAAGUUCAUAUAUGUGGUGCAUCAGGGAUAUGAAAUACAUAUGAUGGAGGGAUAUGGACUAAAUUUCUUCAAUCUUUCUUUAUGAUACCUCUUACUCUAUUGAAGCAAUAGAAUUGUUCAGACUACAGAUAGGGACAGACUUUGACACUCUGUAUCCCAAUGGAAUCCAUAUCAACCAAAGCAAGCAGUACAGUGAAAGCCACUGCACCAGAAGAUCUGCAUAGAUUUAGGAGGACCUCCAAACAUUCAGAGAUGUAGAUCUGUGAAACACUCUGCCACACUAUUGCACUAGCAAAACUUAUUGCCGCAUUUUUUUCCUACACUGUGAAACAGCUAACAGAGACUUACAAUGUAUCUGUCCUUCAACCUGAUACUAGGAACUAUUCGGGAUGACAGGAAAAAAUACAGCACAGGGAGCCUACUAUUACAGAGCUUACCACUCGUGGAAAUUUUCUUUUAGAAAAAAUGUUAGUGUGCAUCAGGGAUUAUUCCAUACUAAAUGAAAAUAUUCCUCAAGCGACUAAAAUACCCAGCAAAUAUAUUCCAAAUUUUGAAAUCAAAACAGAUUUUCUAAAUGCAUUAUUGUUCAUUCACCCAUGAUGGCUACUGGCCGAAGCCUUGUGAUAUACACUGCACUGCAGCUGUUCCCUCGCCACACUCCCAUUAGCUGGAUAAAACUCUUCUGGAAAGUAUGUUUAUGUAACAGAAGAAUUGAUAGAAGCUAAGCAGCUCUGUAAGUGCUUAGAAACGCAUGCCAAAUAGGGAUUUAAGUAUGUGAAUCUGUCUCACUGAGUGGCUUCACCUCAAAAUAUGUCAAGGUUUACUGAUUAUUAUGUUUCAAUAUGAAAAAGUCACCUGUGACCCAGAAAAAUCUGUUUAUAGACAAUGCUUUGCUUUGACAUUUUAUAUAUUUUUCUCUUUUGCUGUUUAUUACUAGCAGGAAAAUGGGAUCUUUAUCUCUUUAAGAGCUCAUCUGCUUCUGUUUGCUGAAGCUUAUUCUUCUCUUGAAGUCAUAAUCUGCCUGCAGUAUCACAAAUGGUUGCUGUGGGGAGGAUUAUAAUGUGAUAAAGGCAGAGGAUCAUGAUUUCAGGUGGAAAAUUAAUUCCAUACCAACAAAGAUAAUGUUGCAAGGGCAGAGUCCUCCGACCAAAACCCAAAUGCUUACUCAUUCCUGCUAUGAGACUUUGCCAGAACAAAGACUCAGAUCUGGAAAAUUUCAAAAUUUGGUAGUGAAAAAUAAAGGCAAGAGUUGAAAGUGAUAGAAGUUAAAAGUAAAUUAUGGAAGCUGCUACACCUAUGAUCACUGCAAAACUAGAACGGCUAGUGGUUCCUUCCAAACAGUGAAAUGAACCAAAGCUUCUUGUGUCAUCUGUGUUAUUUAUCCUUCAGUUUAGCCCAGAAUUGAAAAAAUGCUAUUAAAACAGCAAUCAAAAUAAAAAAAUGUAGAAAUCACAAAUAUCUGUUUGGCAAAGACAUCACUAUUCUAUAUGUUAAGUCAAUGCUCAAAGAAUAGCAGAAAAAUGUUACAAAAUAUUCAGGAAAGCACAAUACAUCACCUGAGACCAAAUUACUGAGGAAACGUUGGAGAUUUUAAAAUCACAUUUAUAAUACACUGAUGUUGCUCUAAAACCAUUAAGCAACUUGUAAUUUCCACUAUCAUGUGAAUGCUGUGUCACUGGGCAGUGACAAACUUUUUCUUGUUCUUUGCAGUGGGAGGGAGUUGCUCGGUAGUAGACCCUACUACCUGACUCAUUUUUGUGCCUGUAAAAUUCUGAAACAAGGCAAACCAAUAAAAACUUCAACUAUGUAUUUUAGAAAAUCUAUCUUCCAAAGACUAAAAUAGCUGCACAAAUAUUUACACCAAAGUAUUCUCUCUUAAAGAAACAACACAGAUGAUCAUCAGAACCAGUUUUAGAUAUAUCAGAGGAAGACAAGAGGCAAACUGAACCUGAGAUUAUCUUCUCUCCAAAAGCAUUCAUGUGCAUCCUUCUGGUUAGAGUCAGUUUGAAUCCAUGAAGAAUGAUCUCCCUAAUCAUACUCUACAGUCAGCAGGAAUAGAGAGGUGUCUCUGGAGGCUGUUGCAGAGCCAAAGCCUAGUCCAUCUGCUCUCGAGGGAACUUUUCUGUCUGAGGAAGUAGGCUAGGGAAAUCAGCCUCUUCUAGCUGAAACUCAUCCUUUUAAGUUUCCUUUGAAAUUGUGAGGUGGGGUUUUUUUCAUGGAAUGAAGUGUGAUAAUAUUGAAAGAACCUGUUCUGUCUAUCUUUACACCCAAAUCAGUGAUGACUGUUGCCAGCCUGGGCACUGCAUGCCAGAGAACACCAUGUAAAAUUGCUUUCACAGUAAGGUGUUCUGUAAAAAAAUAUCUUCUUAUCCAGCCAAGUUUUAACUUCAUAUCUCUGAUUCAGUGACCAGUUUCUUGUCUAGAGAAACACAUGUGGGUUUCCUCUGACCAAAGUUCAUCAGACCUCCUCUCCCUGGGUUGCCCUUUAACCCACUGAAGCCAGCAGAGCAGAUGAACCAUUCCCUAACAGCAUCUAGUUCUCUGCCUGUAAUAGGAGCCCAAGCUGACUACUUCACUUAUAGAAAUCUAUACUGUCAGUACCCAAAAUUAGACAGGAUGGAUCAGGCCUAUGAUGAUUAGGUUUUGGUCUGCCUUCAAUACAGUAUUCAUCAUUCCAUAUGUGUUUUAUCAUCAGACUUCCUCCUUCUUUUCCUCCUUCUACAUGAAAUGAUUCUGGUCUCUUCUAUAUUUUUUUUUCUUCUGAGAUGUUUACAUGUCCUUAUUCACAGACAUCACUCUUGCUGGAUCCCUGUAAUUCAGUACUCUACUCUUAUAAAUCCAUAUUACUGACAUAUAUAAUAGUAGAAUGUUUCCCAUCCCAUCUUCUCUCUGAUGAGGCUAUACAUCUAAAAAUGGUCGUCACUGAACUGUCAAAAGUCAUUCAGAAGUCCCUUUCUGGAGACCAUAAACCUAAAAAUUAAGAAAGAGGCUAAAGACUUUUCUCUGUAAUAUACUCAACUUUGCAUCUCUGAACAUCAUUUUUGUGUUUAUUUGCCCUAUUUCUUCAGUGUGGUCUGAUAUUUGAUAAUCAAGUAUGUCAUACUCUGCUAUCCUUGUUAUGUUUUUGCUUAUUCUCAUUCCUAAUUCAGUCAUCAUAAAACCCAGGAAUUUGAAACAUCCUAAAAAA